CAGCCGCCGCGGGAAUACGAAGGGUGCAAGCGUUACUCGGAAUUACUGGGCGUAAAGCGUGCGUAGGUGGUGGUUUAAGUCCGUUGUGAAAGCCCUGGGCUCAACCUGGGAAUUGCAGUGGAUACUGGAUCACUAGAGUGUGGUAGAGGAUAGUGGUAUUUCCGGUGUAGCAGUGAAAUGCGUAGAGAUCGGAAGGAACAUCUGUGGCGAAGGCGACUAUCUGGGCCAACACUGACACUGAGGCACGAAAGCGUGGGGAGCAAACAGGAUUAGAUACCCCUGUAGUCCCUGUCUCUUAUAC
rnacentral:rRNA from 1 species